GUUGUAAGUGUGUAAGGGCAUACGGUGGAUGUCUAGGCAUCAGGGGCCGAUGAAGGACGUGGGAGACUGCGAAAUGCCUCGGGGAGCUGUCAACCGAGCUGUGAUCCGAGGAUGUCCGAAUGGGGAAACCCGGCACCAGUCAUGUGGUGUCACCCGCACCUGAAUAUAUAGGGUGUUGGGGGGGAACGCGGGGAAGUGAAACAUCUCAGUACCCGUAGGAAGAGAAAACAACCGUGAUUCCGUGAGUAGUGGCGAGCGAAAGCGGAAGAGGCUAAACCGUCGUCGUGUGAUACCCGGCAGGGGUUGCGGUGGCGGGGUCGUGGGACCUUUCGGUCGGUUCUGCCGGACUGGCGCAGAGUAAGAAAACCAUGUGUUAGGUGAACGUCUUGGAACGGGCGGCCGUAGAGGGUGAGAGCCCCGUAAGCGAAAACAUGUGGUCUCUGGAGAGUGUUCCCAAGUAGCAGCGUACUCGUGAAAUUCGCUGUGAAUCUGGCGGGACCACCCGCUAAGCCUGAAUACUUCCUGAUGACCGAUAGCGGACUAGUACCGUGAGGGAAAGAUGAAAAGUACCCCGGGAGGGGAGUGAAAGAGUACCUGAAACCGUGUGCCUACAAGCCGUCAGAGCCUUGAGGGGUGAUGGCGUGCCUUUUGAAGAAUGAGCCUGCGAGUUAGUGCUGCGUGGCGAGGUUAACCCGUGUGGGGUAGCCGUAGCGAAAGCGAGUCCGAAGAGGGCGGUUGAGUCGCGUGGUCUAGACCCGAAGCGGAGUGAUCUACCCAUGGCCAGGGUGAAGCGACGGUAAGACGUCGUGGAGGCCCGAACCCACCAGGGUUGAAAACCUGGGGGAUGAGCUGUGGGUAGGGGUGAAAGGCCAAUCAAACUCCGUGAUAGCUGGUUCUCCCCGAAAUGCAUUUAGGUGCAGCGUCGUGUGUUUCACCUCGGGGGUAGAGCACUGGAUGGUCUAGGGGGCCUACAAGCUUACCGAAAUCAACCAAACUCCGAAUACCGGGGUGUGAGAGCGCGGCAGUGAGACUGCGGGCGAUAAGGUUCGUAGUCGAGAGGGAAACAGCCCAGAACACCAGCUAAGGCCCCUAAGUGUGCGCUAAGUGGGAAAGGAUGUGGGGUCGCCCAGACAACCAGGAGGUUGGCUUAGAAGCAGCCACCCUUGAAAGAGUGCGUAAUAGCUCACUGGUCAAGUGGUCCUGCGCCGACAAUGUAGCGGGGCUGAAGCGCACCGCCGAAGCUGUGUCACUCACACAAAUACAUCGCUGUCGUCCUUGAGAUGACAGCCAGUGGUGUGGGUGGGUAGGGGAGCGUCGUGCAGCCGUGGAAGCCGCGGAGUGAUCCAGUGGUGGAGGCUGUGCGAGUGAGAAUGCAGGCAUGAGUAGCGAUAGGCGAGUGAGAAUCUCGUCCGCCGAAUGACCAAGGGUUCCUGGGCCAGGCUGUUCCGCCCAGGGUAAGUCGGGACCUAAGGCGAGGCCGACAGGCGUAGUCGAUGGACAACGGGUUGAUAUUCCCGUACCCGUGUGGACGCGUCCCUGGUGAGGCCGGUGAUACUAACCGCCCAAGGGUGUGGAUGUCUUCGGACUGAAUCAUCUGAGCGCGGGAUCUGAUCCGGUAGUAGCCAAGCGAUGGGGUGACGCAGGAGGGUAGCUCCGCCAGCAGUUGGUGUCUGGUGUAAGCGUGUGGCCCGAGCGAUAGGCAAAUCCGUCGCUCAUGAGGGUGAGGCGUGAUGCGUAGCCGAGUGAGGCGAAGUAGAGUGAUCCCAUGCUGCCGAGAAAAGCCUCUAGCGAGUGUCCGUGCGGCCCGUACCCCAAACCGACACAGGUGGUCAGGUAGAGAAUACCGAGGCGUUCGGGUGAACUGUGGUUAAGGAACUCGGCAAAAUGCCCCCGUAACUUCGGGAGAAGGGGGGCCGUCUGGCUUGAAGCUCCGUUGCGGGCUAGGGCUGGGUGGCCGCAGAGACCAGCGAGAAGCGACUGUUUACUAAAAACACAGGUCCGUGCGAAGUCGCAAGACGAUGUAUACGGACUGACGCCUGCCCGGUGCUGGAACGUUAAGAGGACGGGUUAGCUCUUCGGGGCGAAGCUCAGAAUUUAAGCGCCAGUAAACGGCGGUGGUAACUAUAACCAUCCUAAGGUAGCGAAAUUCCUUGUCGGGUAAGUUCCGACCUGCACGAAUGGCGUAACGACUUCUCGACUGUCUCAACCACAGGCCCGGCGAAAUUGCACUACGAGUAAAGAUGCUCGUUACGCGCGGCAGGACGGAAAGACCCCGGGACCUUUACUAUAGCUUGGUAUUGGUGCUUGGUUCGGUUUGUGUAGGAUAGGUGGGAGACUGUGAAGCGCUCACGCCAGUGGGUGUGGAGUCGUUGUUGAAAUACCACUCUGAUCGUACUGAGUGUCUAACCUCGGACCGUGAUCCGGUUCAGGGACAGUGCCUGGUGGGUAGUUUAACUGGGGCGGUUGCCUCCCAAAGGGUAACGGAGGCGCCCAAAGGUUCCCUCAGCCUGGUUGGCAAUCAGGUGUUGAGUGCAAGUGCACAAGGGGGCUUGACUGUGAGACUGACAGGUCGAGCAGGGACGAAAGUCGGGACUAGUGAUCCGGCACUGGCUGGUGGAAGCGGUGUCGCUCAACGGAUAAAAGGUACCCCGGGGAUAACAGGCUGAUCUUGCCCAAGAGUCCAUAUCGACGGCAUGGUUUGGCACCUCGAUGUCGGCUCGUCGCAUCCUGGGGCCGGAGUAGGUCCCAAGGGUUGGGCUGUUCGCCCAUUAAAGCGGUACGCGAGCUGGGUUUAGAACGUCGUGAGACAGUUCGGUCCCUAUCCGCCGCGCGCGUUGGAGACUUGAGGAAGGCUGUCCCUAGUACGAGAGGACCGGGACGGACGAACCUCUGGUGUGCCAGUUGUCCCGCCAGGGGCAUGGCUGGUUGGCUACGUUCGGAAGGGAUAACCGCUGAAGGCAUCUAAGCGGGAAGCUCGUUCCAAGAUGAGGUCUCCCGCCCCCUUUGAGGGGUUAAGGCCCCCAGCUAGACCACUGGGUUGAUAGGCCAGAGAUGGAAGCCUCGUGAGGGGUGGAGUUGACUGGUACUAAUAGGCCGAGGGCUUACAAC
rnacentral:rRNA from 1 species